rnacentral:rRNA from 1 species
GAAACAUCUAAGUACCCCGAGGAAAAGAAAUCAACCGAGAUUCCCCCAGUAGCGGCGAGCGAACGGGGAGCAGCCCAGAGCCUGAAUCAGUGUGUGUGUUAGUGGAAGCGUCUGGAAAGGCGCGCGAUACAGGGUGACAGCCCCGUACACAAAAAUGCACAUGCUGUGAGCUCGAUGAGUAGGGCGGGACACGUGGUAU